rnacentral:lncRNA from 12 species
CAUCUUACAGGUAACAAAGCAGAAGCCUGAGGAGGAACUGUGUAAGAGGUUAGCAACCACAUCAUCCUAGUAUGCAGGCUACUUCGCCUGGGGAUCUCCUACCCCACCAUUUGGUCCUCCUGCUUCCUUCCUUCCCUGGGCCUCAUCCAGGGAACAGUGUUGCUGACCUUCGGAGCCACAAAGGCCACAGAUAAUGGGGCACAGCAGGUCGAUGGAGUCAGCAGAGGGGAGAGUCCAUGGUGAGGAUGCACACACACACACACACACACACACACUCACAUGCUCACACACACUCACCCGAGAAAACUGUUAGAGUUGCCAGCCAGAAUCUCACAUUGUAAAAAUGUUUAGAAAAAUAAGGCUAAGAGGCAGAUGAAAC